rnacentral:rRNA from 1 species
AGUGAACGCUGGCGGUAGGCCUAACACACGCAAGUCGAACGGCAGCACAGUAAGAGCUUGCUCUUACGGGUGGCGAGUGGCGGACGGGUGAGGAAUACAUCGGAAUCUACUUUUUCGUGGGGGAUAACGUAGGGAAACUUACGCUAAUACCGCAUACGACCUACGGGUGAAAGCAGGGGAUCUUCGGACCUUGCGCGAUUGAAUUAGCCGAUGUCGGAUUAGCUAGUUGGCUGGGUAAAGGCCCACCAAGGCGACGAUCCGUAGCUGGUCUGAGAGGAUGAUCAGCCACACUGGAACUGAGACACGGUCCAGACUCCUACGGGAGGCAGCAGUGGGGAAUAUUGGACAAUGGGCGCAAGCCUGAUCCAGCCAUACCGCGUGGGUGAAGAAGGCCUUCGGGUUGUAAAGCCCUUUUGUUGGGAAAGAAAAGCAGCAGGUUAAUACCCCGCUGUUCUGACGGUACCCAAAGAAUAAGCACCGGCUAACUUCGUG